UGGUACGUGGUAAAAAAGAUCGCUGGA
rnacentral:sRNA from 1 species